rnacentral:lncRNA from 1 species
GACUGGACAAACACUGUUCGCCUGACUAGACGGGUAACGUCCCUCCUGUCGGCUCAUUAAAUGCGUCGUGCGCCUCACCGUAACAUCCCAAAAUUAGAAAACCUUCCAUAUGCAUUACACUCAUAAGCAUCAUGCCACAUUUGCAUUUCUGAAUUCAAAUUUGAAUCUCAAAAGGCUUUAAAAAUAUUUUUAUUUCAAUUUGAACCCUAGGGUUUCACCCAUUUGAGCUUUGGAUCUUAAAACCCAUAGGGUUUAUCUAUAAAUGGGAUUUAUUGCAUCCCAAAUUUUUUGUAUAAUUAUUUGGAGUUGAAAAACUAUUUUAUUUAAAUAGUUAUAUAGCCCUAAAGGCAUUUAUAGGGCAAAUGUAUUUUUAGAUAUUUUAUUUUGAGGGGAAACUACUCCCAAAAGUUGAAUCAUGAUAGAACAUGAUUUUACAAAUUUUCUAGAAUUUAUUUGGAUCAAUUUGGAGUUCAAAAUCAAAAGAUAUCAAAGAAAAACAGAAAAGGAAAAAAGAAAAGAAAAAAAAGGAGAAAACCAGACCAGUCCGACCACUUGCGCCGAACCGGCCCAGCUUCGCCCGCGCUCGAACUAGACCGAGCCGGCCCAGCCAGCCGCGCCCGUGCCUGUGCCGCUGACGAGCGGGGCCCGCAUGUCGGCAUCGUCUUCCCGGAAUCACGCGCGCGACGCGCGCUCGCCUUCCUUCUUCGCCGCCGCGCGUUCACCGCCGGGAUCUCCUCUCCCGUCCUUCUUUCAGAGCCCUGAGCACGUCCUUUUAAAGCCCCUGCCUCCUCUCUUCUUCCCCCUUGCUUCCCCAGUCAAUCGCACGCCCACGCCGCCGCGAUUUCUCGCCGUAGCUCACCGCCGCCCGCCGCCGUUCCAACUGCACGGUAUGCCAUGGACGACCGAACCUCACCCC